GAUGAACGCUGGCGGCGUGCCUAAUACAUGCAAGUCGAGCGAACGGACGAGAAGCUUGCUUCUCUGAUGUUAGCGGCGGACGGGUGAGUAACACGUGGAUAACCUACCUAUAAGACUGGGAUAACUUCGGGAAACCGGAGCUAAUACCGGAUAAUAUUUUGAACCGCAUGGUUCAAAAGUGAAAGACGGUCUUGCUGUCACUUAUAGAUGGAUCCGCGCUGCAUUAGCUAGUUGGUAAGGUAACGGCUUACCAAGGCAACGAUGCAUAGCCGACCUGAGAGGGUGAUAGGCCACCCUGGAACUGAGACACGGUCCAGACUCCUACGGGAGGCAGCAGUAGGGAAUCGUCCGCAAUGGGCGAAAGCCUGACGGAGCAACGCCGCGUGAGUGAUGAAGGUCUUCGGAUCGUAAAACUCUGUUAUUAGGGAAGAACAUAUGUGUAAGUAACUGUGCACAUCUUGACGGUACCUAAUCAGAAAGCCACGGCUAACUACGUG
rnacentral:rRNA from 1 species